GUCCAGCCGUAAACUUUAAAUUACCCCACAUACCGCCAGGGAACUACGAGCUAAGCUUAAAACCCAAAGGACUUGACGGUACCCCAUGUCCCUCUAGAGGAGCCUGUCCUAUAAUCGAUAACCCCCGUUUAACCUCACCAUUUUUAGCUAAUCAGUUUGUAUACCUCCGUCGCCAGCUUACCACGUGAGCGAAAUAUAGUGAGCUUAAUGUCCACACGCCAACACGUCAGGUCAAGGUGCAACAAAUAAAAUGGAAAGAGAUGGGCUACACUUUCUAAUUUAGAAAAUACGAAAAACUAUUUAUGAAAUUCUAGUUUGAAGGCGGAUUUAGUAGUAAAAAGAAACCAGAGUGUUCUUUUUAACAAGGCCCUGGGGUGUGUACACACCGCCCGUCACCCUCUUCAAAGCUAUUUAUUAGUUAUUAACAAAAUUUUUGCAUUAUAGAAGAGGCAAGUCGUAACAUGGUAAGUAUACCGGAAGGUGUGCUUGGAAU
rnacentral:rRNA from 1 species